rnacentral:rRNA from 1 species
AGAGUUUGGAUCCGUGGCUCAGGACGAACGCUGGCGGCGUGCUUAACACAUGCAAGUCGAACGGAAAGGCCCUGCGUUUUGUGGGGUGGCGUCGAGUGGCGAACGGGUGAGUAACACGUGAGUAACCUGCCCUUGACUUUGGGGAUAACUUCAGGAAACUGGGGCGUAAUACCGGAUAGGAGCUCCUGCUGCAUGGUGGGGGUUGGAAAGUUUCGGCGGUUGGGGAUGGACUCGCGGCUUAUCAGCUUGUUGGUGGGGGUAGUGGCUUACCAAGGCUUUGACGGGUAGCCGGCCUGAGAGGGUGACCGGCCACAUUGGGCCUGAGAUACGGCCCAGACUCCUACGGGAGGCAGCAGUGGGGAAUAUUGCACAAUGGGCGGAAGCCUGAUGCAGCAACGCCGCGUGCGGGAUGACGGCCUUCGGGUUGUAAACCGCUUUCGCCUGUGACGAAGCGUGAGUGACGGUAAUGGGUAAAGAAGCACCGGCUAACUACGUG